rnacentral:rRNA from 1 species
CCUACGGGUGGCAGCAGUGAGGAAUAUUGGUCAAUGGCCGGGAGGCUGAACCAGCCAAGUCGCGUGAGGGAAGACGGCCCUACGGGUUGUAAACCUCUUUUGUCAGGGAGCAAGGUGCAGGUCGGGACCUGCUGUGAGAGUACCUGAAGAAAAAGCAUCGGCUAACUCCGUGCCAGCAGCCGCGGUAAUACGGAGGAUGCGAGCGUUAUCCGGAUUUAUUGGGUUAAAAGGGUGCGCAGGCGGAGGCACAAGUCAGCAGUAAAAUCGCGGGGCUCAACCCCGCUCCGCCGUUGAAACUGUGUCCCUUGAGUGCGCGAAGGGUAGGCGGAAUGCGUGGUGUAGCGGUGAAAUGCAUAGAUAUCACGAAGAACGCCGAUUGCGAAGGCAGCUUACCAGUCUGCGACUGACGCUCAGGCACGAAAGUGUGGGUAUCGAACAGGAUUAGAUACCCCUGUAGUC